rnacentral:rRNA from 1 species
UGCAGUCGAACGAACUUCCGUUAAUUGAUUAUGACGUGCUUGCACUGAAUGAGAUUUUAACACGAAGUGAGUGGCGGACGGGUGAGUAACACGUGGGUAACCUGCCCAGAAGCAGGGGAUAACACCUGGAAACAGAUGCUAAUACCGUAUAACAGAGAAAACCGCCUGGUUUUCUUUUAAAAGAUGGCUCUGCUAUCACUUCUGGAUGGACCCGCGGCGCAUUAGCUAGUUGGUGAGGUAACGGCUCACCAAGGCGAUGAUGCGUAGCCGACCUGAGAGGGUAAUCGGCCACAUUGGGACUGAGACACGGCCCAGACUCCUACGGGAGGCAGCAGUAGGGAAUCUUCCACAAUGGACGCAAGUCUGAUGGAGCAACGCCGCGUGAGUGAAGAAGGGUUUCGGCUCGUAAAGCUCUGUUGUUAAAGAAGAACGUGGGUGAGAGUAACUGUUCACCCAGUGACGGUAUUUAACCAGAAAGCCACGGCUAACUACGUGCCAGCAGCCGCGGUAAUACGUAGGUGGCAAGCGUUAUCCGGAUUUAUUGGGCGUAAAGCGAGCGCAGGCGGUCUUUUAAGUCUAAUGUGAAAGCCUUCGGCUCAACCGAAGAAGUGCAUUGGAAACUGGGAGACUUGAGUGCAGAAGAGGACAGUGGAACUCCAUGUGUAGCGGUGAAAUGCGUAGAUAUAUGGAAGAACACCAGUGGCGAGGCGGCUGUCUGGUCUGUAACUGACGCUGAGGCUCGAAAGCAUGGGUAGCGAACAGGAUUAGAUACCCUGGUAGUCCAUGCCGUAAACGAUGAUUACUAAGUGUUGGAGGGUUUCCGCCCUUCAGUGCUGCAGCUAACGCAUUAAGUAAUCCGCCUGGGGAGUACGACCGCAAGGUUGAAACUCAAAAGAAUUGACGGGGGCCCGCACAAGCGGUGGAGCAUGUGGUUUAAUUCGAAGCUACGCGAAGAACCUUACSAGGUCUUGACAUCUUCUGCCAACCUAAGAGAUUAGGCGUUCCCUUCGGGGACAGAAUGACAGGUGGUGCAUGGUUGUCGUCAGCUCGUGUCGUGAGAUGUUGGGUUAAGUCCCGCAACGAGCGCAACCCUUAUUACUAGUUGCCAGCAUUCAGUUGGGCACUCUAGUGAGACUGCCGGUGACAAACCGGAGGAAGGUGGGGACGACGUCAAAUCAUCAUGCCCCUUAUGACCUGGGCUACACACGUGCUACAAUGGAUGGUACAACGAGUCGCGAAACCGCGAGGUUUAGCUAAUCUCUUAAAACCAUUCUCAGUUCGGACUGUAGGCUGCAACUCGCCUACACGAAGUCGGAAUCGCUAGUAAUCGCGGAUCAGCAUGCCGCGGUGAAUACGUUCCCGGGCCUUGUACACACCGCCCGUCACACCAUGAGAGUUUGUAACACCCAAAGCCGGUGGGG